AUUGAACGCUGGCGGCAGGCCUAACACAUGCAAGUCGAGCGGAUGAUGGGAGCUUGCUCCUGGAUUCAGCGGCGGACGGGUGAGUAAUGCCUAGGAAUCUGCCUGGUAGUGGGGGACAACGUUUCGAAAGGAACGCUAAUACCGCAUACGUCCUACGGGAGAAAGCAGGGGACCUUCGGGCCUUGCGCUAUCAGAUGAGCCUAGGUCGGAUUAGCUAGUUGGUGAGGUAAUGGCUCACCAAGGCGACGAUCCGUAACUGGUCUGAGAGGAUGAUCAGUCACACUGGAACUGAGACACGGUCCAGACUCCUACGGGAGGCAGCAGUGGGGAAUAUUGGACAAUGGGCGAAAGCCUGAUCCAGCCAUGCCGCGUGUAUGAAGAAGGUCUUCGGAUUGUAAAGCACUUUAAGUUGGGAGGAAGGGCAGUAAGUUAAUACCUUGCUGUUUUGACGUUACCGACAGAAUAAGCACCGGCUAACUCUGUGCCAGCCGCCGCCGUAAAAC
rnacentral:rRNA from 1 species